AGUUGUUUAAAAGGGCCAAAUUUUGGCUAUUCAGCCACUCUAACCCUAGUCCCCGUUUCUUCCUCACCAACCGACCUCUAGCACUCCUCUUCAAGCACCGAUUCACCUCCCUAAAUGGCGAACGGUGUUUUCAUGCCUUGAGGGACAUUUUUUUAGCCUCAUGAUUUCAUUUUGACUUUGAUUUCGACGAAACCAAAAGAGAUCUACGGCAUGUUUGCAAGGUAAGUCCUCUAUUUUAUUUCAUUACACUAAAAAAAACGACAAGAAAGAAAUGAAACAGAUUCGAAGAACAGAAAUAUAAGGUGCUUGAAAUCACCUUUCAAUAAUUUUUGAUUGCUCUUCUAUUUAAUAUGCAUUUCUUUGCGUGUUCUUUUUUUUGUGAGUAAUAUGCCUUUCUGUGUAACCGGUUACAAAGAUUAAAAAUCUUGGCUUUAUAGCUGAAAAGAAAGAAAUAAAUAAAAAAAUACAAUAUUUGUUCCUUUUUGCGUGCGUUCAUCCUUUUUGCAGGUAUUAGUGUGCGUGGCGCGAGUACGGGGGCUGUGCUACCUUACGGAGGCGCGGGCGUGGCUGCUGGAGGGUAUGGAGGCUGGGGCUGCUGUCCGGUUGUGCCGCAAAGGGGAAGAAACCCUAGGAUUCUUGUUCCUAAAAUGUUUCGGGCCAUUUGGGCCUUGUAACUUUGGGCUGUUUUGUAAAAGGGCUAUUGGGUUUAAUUAACAGGCUGAACUUGUUUAAAAACUGGACUGUUGUAACAUUUUUUGUGAUUUAUUUUUGUAUUUAUUUUUGUAUUUUGUUUAUUUUGUCUUUGCACGGGCCCGGGCCAAAAUUGGGCCUUACAAUUAUAAUAUAGAGAAAAAUGGGGACAAAUCCACUUGAUCACAUACCUCAAUUUGCCAAGCCAUUUUUUCCCAUUAAUUGGGAGAAGGCUUUUAUUCAAAAAUGGUAAAAUCGCCAUAUUAGCCACCUAUCUUCCCUCUACUUCACACAAGCUUCCCGACAUCCUUAAUUUCUUAUAAAAAGGUCCAAAAUCCACCCAAAUUAAUUCCAACAAAAACCAAUUCCAA
rnacentral:lncRNA from 1 species